rnacentral:tRNA from 1 species
GCCUGGCUGGCUCAGAUGGUGGAGCAUGCAAUUCUAGAUCUUGGAGUCUGUGAGUUCAAGUCUCAUACUGGGCA